AUUUAUUUUUUAACCCCUCCAGCCCUAUUUUGCAUUCUGUAUUAAGAAUGCUAUUAUUUUCCCUUAUAACCAUGUUAGAAGGGAAAAUAAUAAAAUCUGCACAACACCGAACCCAAACCGAAACUUCAGUGAUGAAGUCAGGGUUCGGGUCUG